UACAUGGGGUGCAAACGUUGCUCGGAAUUAUUGGGCGUAAAGCGCACGUAGGCGGUUCGUUAAGUCGGAUGUGAAAGCCCUCGGCUCAACUGAGGAAGUGCACCCGAAACUGGCGAGCUUGAGUACGAAAGAGGAUCGCGGAAUUCCCGGUGUAGAGGUGAAAUUCGUAGAUAUCGGGAGGAACACCGGUGGCGAAGGCGGUUACCUGGACAGUUACUGACGCUCAGGCACGAAAGCAUGGGGAGCAAAAGGG
rnacentral:rRNA from 1 species